CAGUCGCCGCGGGAAUACAGAGGGUGCAAGCGUUAAUCGGAAUUACUGGGCGUAAAGUGCGCGUAGGUGGUUUGUUAAGUUGGAUGUGAAAUCCCCGGGCUCAACCUGGGAACUGCAUCCAAAACUGGCAAGCUAGAGUAUGGUAGAGGGUGGUGGAAUUUCCUGUGUAGCGGUGAAAUGCGUAGAUAUAGGAAGGAACACCAGUGGCGAAGGCGACCACCUGGACUGAUACUGACACUGAGGUGCGAAAGCGUGGGGAGCAAACAGGAUUAGAUACCCCGGUAGUCCCUGUCUCUUAUAC
rnacentral:rRNA from 1 species